rnacentral:rRNA from 1 species
UAGGGAAUAUUGGGCAAUGGAAGCAAUUCUGACCCAGCCAUGCCGCGUGAAGGAAUACAGCCCUAUGGUUUUUAAACUUCUUUUAUUAUAGAGUAACCGGAGGUACGUGUACCUCCCUGCAAGUAUAUGAUGAAUAAGGAUCGGCUCACUCCGUGCCAGCAGCCGCGGUAAUACGGCGGAUCCAAGCGUUAUCCGGAUUUAUUGGGUUUAAAGGGUGCGCAGGCGGAUCAAUAAGUCAGGGGUGAAAAAUUUCAGCUUAACUGGAAUCGUGCCUUUGAUACUGUUGGACUAGAGUAUAAUUGAGGUGAAUGGAAUGUGAUGUGUAGCGGUGAAAUGCUUAGAUAUGUCACAGAACGCCAAUCGUGAAGACAGGUCACGAAAUUAUUACUGACGCUCAUGCACGAAAGCGUGGGGAUCAAACA